GCAUAACGCGAAGAACCUUACCAAGGCUUGACAUGCAUCUCUAAGCGCGUGAAAGCGCGUGACUCUUCGGGGGAUUUGCACAGGUGCUGCAUGGCCGUCGUCAGCUCGUGUCGUGAGAUGUUGGGUUAAGUCCCGCAACGAGCGCAACCCUUGUGACUAGUUGCCAGCACGUUAUGGUGGGAACUCUAGUCAGACUGCCCAGAUCAACUGGGAGGAAGGUGGGGACGACGUCAGGUCAGUAUGGCCCUUACGCCUUGGGCUGCACACGUACUACAAUGCCCAGCACAAUGAGAACCGAGACCGCGAGGUGGAGGAAAUCUAAAAAACUGGGCCCAGUUCGGAUUGGAGGCUGCAACUCGCCUCCAUGAAGUUGGAAUCGCUAGUAAUGGCGCAUCAUCUACGGCGCCGUGAAUACGUUCCCGGGUCUUGUACACACCG
rnacentral:rRNA from 1 species